CCUACGGAGCAGCAGUGAGGAAUAUUGGACAAUGGGCGCAAGCCUGAUCCAGCCAUGCCGCGUGCAGGAAGAAGCAUCUAUGGUGUGUAAACUGCUUUUGUACAGGAAGAAACACUCCCUCGUGAGGGAGCUUGACGGUACUGUAAGAAUAAGGACCGGCUAACUCCGUGCCAGCAGCCGCGGCAAUACGGAGGGUCCGAGCGUUAUCCGGAAUCAUUGGGUUUAAAGGGUCCGUAGGCGGUUUAAUAAGUCAGUGGUGAAAUCUGGUCGCUCAACGAUCAAACGGCCAUUGAUACUGUUAGACUUGAAUUAUAAGGAAGUAACUAGAAUAUGUAGUGUAGCGGUGAAAUGCUUAGAUAUUACAUGGAAUACCAAUUGCGAAGGCAGGUUACUACUUAUGGAUUGACGCUGAUGGACGAAAGCGUGGGGAGCGAACAGGAUUAGAUACCCUGGUAGUCCACGCCGUAAACGAUGGAUACCUAGCUGUUCGGAGCAAUCUGNGUGNGAGAGAAGAGAGUAAGUAUACCACCGUCGGUAGGUACGUUACGUCGAGAAGAGAAACGUUAAAGUUAAGUAAGUUAGUACGGACGUGAGACGUAGACCGACGGACGACGACGAGGGGAGGAGGG
rnacentral:rRNA from 1 species